UUUUUUUAUUUCGAUAUUUCGUUCCAUACUUUGACUAAUGUUUAAAAGUGAGCCGCAGGAAAUCGUAUUCCAAGUAUAAAUACUCUUCUUAUUUCUUUCCCGCCAAUGAGUGCACAGUGUUAGAGAGUGGAGGUCAGGCCCUUACCGAAGUAAGACGCCCUAAAAUUCACUAAUGAUCCUUCCGCAGGUUCACCUACGGAAA
rnacentral:misc_RNA from 1 species